GUCGGUCUAGUAUAAUGGUAGAACGCCUGCCUGUUAUCUUCCCGAUGCAAUGUCCCACAUCUUCUCGGGGAUGGGCAUAGGCACGAUUAGAAAGCUAGCAGUGAGAUCCCAGUUCGAGUCUGUGGGGCCGACC